CCUACGGGUGGCAGCAGUGGGGAAUAUUGGGCAAUGGACGCAAGUCUGACCCAGCAACGCCGCGUGAAGGAAGAAGGCUUUCGGGUUGUAAACUUCUUUUAAGGGGGAAGAGCAGAAGACUGUACGCCUUGAAUAAGCCACGGCUCACCACGAGCGAGCAUCCGCGGUAAUACGUAGGUGGCAAGCGUUGUCCGGAUUUACUGGGUGUAAAGGGCGUGCAGGCGGAGAGACAAGUCAGGUGUGAAAUCCCCGGGCUCAACUCGGGAACUGCAUUUGAAACUGUUUCCCUUGAGUGUCGGAGAGGUAAUCGGCAUUCCUUGUGUAGCGGUGAAAUGCGUAGAUAUAAGGAAGAACACCAGUGGCGAAGGCGGCUUACUGGACUAUAACUGACGGUGAGGCGCGAAAGCGUGGGGAGCAAACAGGAUUAGAUACCCGGGUAGUC
rnacentral:rRNA from 1 species